rnacentral:rRNA from 1 species
UACGUAGGGGGCGAGCGUUGUCCGGAGUUACUGGGCGUAAAGCGCACGCAGGCGGUCCGAUCAGUUCAGCGUGACAGUUGUCGGCUCAACCGAGAAAGUGUGCUGAAGACGGUCGGACUUGAGGGCUUCAGAGGGACACGGAAUUCCGGGUGGAGUGGUGAAAUGCGUAGAGAUCCGGAGGAACACCGAAGGCGUAGGCAGUGUCCUGGGGAGUACCUGACGCUCAGGUGCGAAAGCCAGGGGAGCGAACGGG